rnacentral:rRNA from 1 species
UACGAAGGGUGCAAACGUUGCUCGGAAUUAUUGGGCGUAAAGAGCUUGUAGGCGGUUUGUCGCGUCUGCUGUGAAAUUUCGGGGCUCAACCCCGAACUUGCAGUGGGUACGGGCAGACUAGAGUGUGGUAGGGGAGACUGGAAUUCCUGGUGUAGCGGUGAAAUGCGCAGAUAUCAGGAGGAACACCGGUGGCGAAGGCGGGUCUCUGGGCCGUAACUGACGCUGAGGAGCGAAAGCGUGGGGAGCGAACAGG